rnacentral:rRNA from 1 species
GACGAACGCUGGCGGCGUGCCUAACACAUGCAAGUCGAGCGAGGUUGCGGAUGGGUGCUUGCACCCUGAAGCUACCUAGCGGCGGACGGGUGAGUAACGCGUGAGUAACCUGCCUUAUACAGGGGGAUAACAACGAGAAAUCGUUGCUAAUACCGCAUAAGACCACGGUAUCGCAUGGUACAGGGGUAAAAGGAGCAAUCCGGUAUAAGAUGGACUCGCGUCCCAUUAGCUAGUUGGUGAGAUAACAGCCCACCAAGGCAACGAUGGGUAGCCGACCUGAGAGGGUGAUCGGCCACACUGGGACUGAGACACGGCCCAGACUCCUACGGGAGGCAGCAGUGGGGAAUAUUGGGCAAUGGGCGAAAGCCUGACCCAGCAACGCCGCGUGAAGGAAGAAGGUCUUCGGAUUGUAAACUUCUGUCGUCAGGGACGAAAAGGACGGUAACCUGGCAAGAAAGCCCCGGCUAACUACGUG